UAGGGGUGAAAGGCCAAUCAAACCCGGAGAUAUCUCGUUCUCCCCGAAAUAGCUUUAGGGCUAGCCCCGGGCGUUUGCCUGCGGAGGUAGAGCACUGAAUGGGUGCGGGGGCCUCACCGCCUACCAAGUCCAAUCAAACUCCGAAUGCCGCAGGCCCAGAGCCCGGGAGUCAGAACAUGUGGGCUAAGCCGUGUGUUCGAGAGGGAAACAGCCCAGACCGCCCGCUAAGGUCCCCAAGUCCGUGCUGAGUGGCAAAGGAUGUGCGUUUGCUCAGACAACCAGGAUGUUGGCUUAGAAGCAGCCACCCAUUCAAAGAGUGCGUAACAGCUCACUGGUCGAGUGGACAUGCGCCGACAAUAUACGGGGCUAAGCACGGUACCGAAGCGGCGGACCCGCGCGCGAGCGCGGGUGGUAGGGGAGCUUUCCGUCCGGGGCGAAGCGAGGGGGCGACCCCCCGUGGACCGGCCGGAAGUGAGAAUGCUGGCAUGAGUAGCGAGAGGGGCGUGAGAAACGCCCCCGCCGUAAACCCAAGGUUUCCUGGGCAAGGCUAAUCCUCCCAGGGUCAGUCGGGUGCUAAGGCGAGGCCGGAAGGCGUAGCCGACGCGCAGCAGGCAGACAUUCCUGCACCCCCGACGCGGCGCCAUCACCGACGGGGUGACGGAGAAGGGUAGCUCAGCGGGGUUCUGGACGUCCCCGUGAGGCCACGUAGGCCGGGCGGCUGUGAAACGCGCCGCCCGCGAGGGCUGAGGUGGCUGACGAAGCGACUGGGUGAAGUGAGUGAGCCCAUGCUCCCGAGAAAAACCCCUAGGGAUGCCGCGCGGGGCCCGUACCGCAAACCGACACAGGUGGGUGGGUAGAACAUACCAAGGCGAUCGGGAGAACUAUGGUUAAGGAACUCGGCAAAACUGCCCCGCAACUUCGGGAGAAGGGGUGCCGCCGCCGGUGGAGGGGCUUGCCCCCCGAGCUGGUGGCGGCCACAGUGAAGAGGUCCAAGCGACUGUUUAUCAAAAACACAGGACUCUGCUGAAGUCGUAAGACGACGCAUAGGGUCUGACGCCUGCCCGGUGCCGGAAGGUCACGAGGAGCCGUCAGCGAGAGCGAAGCGGCGAAUCCAAGCCCCGGUAAACGGCGGCCGUAACUAUAACGGUCCUAAGGUAGCGAAAUUCCUUGUCGGGUAAGUUCCGACCUGCACGAAAGGCGUAACGAUUUGGACGCUGUCUCAACCAUAGACCCGGUGAAAUUGCACUAGUCGUGAAGAUGCGACUUACCCGCGGAAGGACGGAGAGACCCCGUGAACCUUUACUGCAGCUUGACAUUGGCUGCCGGUUCGUCGUGUAGAGGAUAGGUGGGAGACGCCGAACCAGGGACGCCAGUCCCUGGGGAGUCACCCUUGGAAUACCACCCUCGACGUUCUGGCAUCCUAACCCCGCGCCGUGAUCCGGGCGGGGGACCGUGUCAGGUGGGUAGUUUGACUGGGGCGGUCGCCUCCUAAAGAGUAACGGAGGCGCACAAAGGUCUGCUCAGCCUGGUCGGCAACCAGGCCGCUGAGUGCAAGAGCGCAAGCAGGCUCGACUGCGAGGCCCACGAGCCGAGCAGGGACGAAAGUCGGUUCUAGUGAUCCGGCGGCCCAGAGUGGAAUGGCCGUCGCUCAACGGAUAAAAGGUACUCCGGGGAUAACAGGCUGAUCUUCCCCAAGAGUCCACAUCGACGGGAAGGUUUGGCACCUCGAUGUCGGCUCAUCGCAUCCUGGGGCUGGAGCAGGUCCCAA
rnacentral:rRNA from 1 species